GACGAACGCUGGCGGCGUGCUUAACACAUGCAAGUCGAACGGAAAGGCCCUGCUUUUGUGGGGUGCUCGAGUGGCGAACGGGUGAGUAACACGUGAGUAACCUGCCCUUGACUUUGGGAUAACUUCAGGAAACUGGGGCUAAUACCGGAUAGGAGCUCCUGCUGCAUGGUGGGGGUUGGAAAGUUUCGGCGGUUGGGGAUGGACUCGCGGCUUAUCAGCUUGUUGGUGGGGUAGUGGCUUACCAAGGCUUUGACGGGUAGCCGGCCUGAGAGGGUGACCGGCCACAUUGGGACUGAGAUACGGCCCAGACUCCUACUGGAGGCAGCAGUGGGGAAUAUUGCACAAUGGGCGGAAGCCUGAUGCAGCAACGCCGCGUGCGGGAUGACGGCCUUCGGGUUGUAACCCGCUUUCGCCUGUGACGAAGCGUGAGUGACGGUAAUGGGUAAAGAAGCACCGGCUAACUACGUG
rnacentral:rRNA from 1 species